GGAGAAGUAGCUCAGCUUGGUAGAGCACUACAUUUGGUACUGUAGUGGUCGCAGGUUCAAAUCCUGUCUUCUUCACCA
rnacentral:tRNA from 1 species